CUUUGCAUUUCCCCUAUCUUAUGUAUCUUUCCGGUGGUUUGGGGGUCGAGACCCAGCAUCUCAACUGAGAUCUUCGUGAUGUUAACUGCUGAAAAAACAAUGGGAUGGUUUUUUUCUCCUACAGACUCAGACAAGUUUGAAUACGGAUCCUAAAAUCACAAGCCCCCUGCCCUAGAAAUAACCUCCUUGCUCCAGGGCGCUGCACAUGACAUCCUGCGGCCUGAGGAACGUGCCAGCCGGUGUUAACGCAUGGAUCACAGGCAGCCCUCUAGAUCAGAGACCACCUUCGCUAAAGCUUGGAUUUGGGAAGGGUCCCAGCUGCUCGCCCCAAGAAUCCAUCCAGAGGUGUCAGAGGAAAUACGUAAGGCGAACACCCGACAUUUCUCCUACCACCCCGAGAUCCACUGCUCCCUUCAGAGCUGCGGAGCAGAAAGCCCCAGCCACGGCCCUGCAGCUGGGGGCACCAAGCUUCUGGAGGCAGCACCUAAACCCCUGCCCUCCCUACGGAACCGAGAGUGAAAAUAGCACCGCAUGCAAAUGGCUGGCAGGGGCUGCGGGGCGGCGAGGGGGCCGUGCCAGCCCCGUGCAGCAGCACAGCAGCGCACACAGAUCAGCAAGAGUGAGCAGGGAGCAGCCAACGCCUCCGCCCUGCCACUGCUGAUCCCCUGCUAAACCUUCCGUCUCUUUUCAUGGCCAGACUUGUUUCCCUACCUCCUUUUUUCUUUCUAAAUACAUUUUUCUCAGUGAAGGAAGCUCAGAAACACUUUUACAGGCUCAGACAGGAUUGGAGGCCCCGAGUUAGCUGCAUGGGUCAAACAGUCACGAAGGCUCUGCAGGCAGCACAUGGCAUCGCUGCCUACAGUCAGUGAUGCAAAACCACCUCAGCUUGUCACCAUCCUCCCCUUCCAGAAAAAAAAUCCCUAAAAGUGGCAGCAAGCCUCCUGUAAUUCUCUCAGAUGUGCCGUGCAAAACCCAUGACCUGUUUGGGGGCUGGGUUUUGUGGAGGUGGAGGGGAGAGAGUUGUGUGGUUUGACUGUGCUGUUUGCAUUUCUGCCAAGACACAAUUUGCUGCAUAACCCUUGUGCACACAUGACCUACAAACACUGCACGAUUCAUGCUCAGCUCAUGCACUGUGCCUCAGCGCAGCAGGCCCGAGCAGCCUACUUUCCUCCUCUUGUUUGCUCAGCAAUGCUACCAAAAGCCUUAGAACUGCAGCAGAGAUACGCUUCCCCAGGACCACCCCCAAUCCAGGAAUUCAAACUGCACCGAGCUUUGUAAAUCCCUCAGUACACAGAAGCCUGCGUGCAGGAUUUGUACGCUCAGAAAUUCAAAGGUUUUCUGU